GCGCGAUUAGCUCAGCGGGAGAGCGCUUCCCUGACACGGAAGAGGUCACUGGUUCAAUCCCAGUAUCGCGUA
rnacentral:tRNA from 2 species